rnacentral:rRNA from 1 species
UACGGGGGGAGCAAGCGUUGUUCGGAUUUACUGGGCGUAAAGGGCGCGUAGGCGGCGUGACAAGUCACUUGUGAAAUCUCCGGGCUUAACUCGGAACGGUCAAGUGAUACUGUCGUGCUAGAGUACAGAAGGGGCAACUGGAAUUCUCGGUGUAGCGGUGAAAUGCGUAGAUAUCGAGAGGAACACCUGCGGCGAAGGCGGGUUGCUGGGCUGAUACUGACGCUGAGGCGCGAAGGUCAGGGGAGCAAACGGG